GUUUGUAUCCUCUGCCCCAGAAGCUCAGCCUGCAGUCCAGUCUGAUCCUCACCUGGUGAGGUCUCAGGUGGCAGAAAUACAGUUGGGGACGGGCAUGGUAUGCCAGGUAUGGAUCGGGUUGACAGCCUUGCAGAGCACCUGGUAGAACUGAGGACACAGACCUCCAUGACUCUCAGCAACCAGCAGGGAAGCACAAUUGUGGCCCUGUGGCAAAACCUGCUGGACGUUGACAGCGGGCCCAGCAAUCUACAGUGGGCAGGUCACUGCUGGAGGCCCCGCUGGAGUCUGAGCUGAAGGAGUUUCUGGUGAAUCUGUGAGCUGUAAAUCAUUUUGUCUGAUUUUGCAGGGAAUCAGACCCAAUGAUAAACAUUAAGAAUAACUAAAGUAAUGGCCGAUAUUCUCUCUGAUGGUCUUGUUUACUUAUGCAAGCCAUAUAGAGGCAUCAGUAGUACAUUGAGAGUUGUUUCAUAACCAGUACCACACUGAAAAUAACCUGUUACAAGUAAAUGUUAAGUGUUAAAUUCUUACAUUGAAAAUGUUAAUUAAAAAGUACAAAAGUGUUAUCAGUAUUAUCUUCUUCAAAUUAUUUGUUCUUGUUGUUUCACGUGUUCCAG